rnacentral:rRNA from 1 species
UACGGAGGGGGCUAGCGGUGUUCGGAAUUACUGGGCGUAAAGCGCACGUAGGCGGCUUUGCAAGUUAGAGGUGAAAGCCCAGGGCUUAACCCUGGAAUUGCCUUUAAAACUGCAUCGCUAGAAUUGUGGAGAGGUAAGUGGAAUUCCGAGUGUAGAGGUGAAAUUCGUAGAUAUUCGGAAGAACACCAGUGGCGAAGGCGACUUACUGGACACAUAUUGACGCUGAGGUGCGAAAGCGUGGGGAGCAAACAGG